UGUAUAUAUAAUGCAAAUAUUUGAAGUAUUAUUACUGUUAUGAACAGUAAUAAUGAGGUGGCUAGCAAGACUUCUACCUAUACAGACAAUAUUGGUUUACAAAAUUCUUGCCCACAAACCUUAUGAAAAUGAUAACAACCAAACAAUGUUGAGUGAUUUUCUUGUAUGAGUACAAGCUGGGUCACUAUGCCACAGAAGCUCUAUGGAAUAUCAAGGGGGCCUUUGAUAAUGGUUUUGUUGACAUCAGAACUCUUCAGAGAUGGUUCCAAAGAUCUCAUUCUAGAGAUGAUAGUCUUGAAAAUGAACCAAGAGGGAGGCCAAAAUCAGUUAUUCAGCAUGAUGGGUUAAAUGCUUUGGUUGAACAAAAUCCGAGAACAAUGAUCCAAAACUUUCAUAAGAACUCCAAACACCUCACGCAACUGUUUCUCAACACCUGAAAAAAAUUAGAAAAGUCAAGAAAAUGGAUAGGUUUGUUCCACAUCAACUGAAUAAGAUUAAAAAAAAAACAGGUGCCUCAAAGUAUGUUCCUUGUUGCUUUCUUGACUGGGAAAAGAAACAUUUUGCUUUGAAUCAUUACAUGUGAUGAGAAAUGGAUACUCUUUGACAACAGCAGGAGAAUAGGACAGUGAUUAGAUGUAGGAGAGUCAUCUAAACACUACCCAAAACCACCAUUGCACUCUAAAAAGUUAGUGGUCACUGUAUGGUGGUCUGUAAAGGAGGUUAUUCAUUAUUCAUUUUUGCAACAAGGAAAAACAGUAACAUCAACAUUGUAUUGCCAGGAAAUUGAUUGUAUGCAUGAGAAUUUGAAAAAGAAGCAACCCAGACUAGUGGAUAGGGAUGGUCCAAUUUUGCUCCAUGAUAAUGCAUGUCCUCAUACUUCUCAAGCUACGGCCCAAAAGUUGCAAAGCCUAAAUUAUGAGAUCUUGCAACAUCCUCCCUAUUUCCCUGAUAUCUUUCCUAUUGAUUAUCACUUAUUUAAGCAUUUUGAGCUUUUCAUAUGCAAUAAAACAUUCACUU